rnacentral:rRNA from 1 species
GUGCCAGCAGCCGCGGUAAUACGUAGGUGGCAAGCGUUAUCCGGAAUUAUUGGGCGUAAAGCGCGCGCAGGUGGUUUCUUAAGUCUGAUGUGAAAGCCCACGGCUCAACCGUGGAGGGUCAUUGGAAAACUGGGAGACUUGAGUGCAGAAGAGGAAAGUGGAAUUCCAUGUGUAGCGGUGAAAUGCGUAGAGAUAUGGAGGAACACCCAGUGGCGAAGGCGACUUUCUGGUCUGUAACUGACACUGAGGCGCGAAAGCGUGGGGGAGCAAAACAGGAUUAGAUACCCCUGGGUAGUCC